rnacentral:rRNA from 1 species
UGGGGAAUAUUGCACAAUGGGGGAAACCCUGAUGCAGCGACGCCGCGUGAACGAAGAAGUAUUUCGGUAUGUAAAGUUCUAUCAGCAGGGAAGAUAAUGACGGUACCUGACUAAGAAGCACCGGCUAAAUACGUGCCAGCAGCCGCGGUAAUACGUAUGGUGCAAGCGUUAUCCGGAUUUACUGGGUGUAAAGGGAGCGCAGGCGGUGCGGCAAGUCUGAUGUGAAAGCCCGGGGCUCAACCCCGGUACUGCAUUGGAAACUGUCGUACUAGAGUGUCGGAGGGGUAAGUGGAAUUCCUAGUGUAGCGGUGAAAUGG